UUCCGGUUGAUCCCGCCGGACCCCACUGCUAUCGAGAUGGGACUAAGGUAUGCUAGUCGAACGACCAGAACUAUGUCUGGAAGUGGCACACUGCUCAGUAACACGUAGCUAACCUACCCUUAGGACGUGGAUACCCCCGAGAAAUUGGGGUUAAUCCGCGAUAGGUGUAAUGUCCUGGAAUGGUAUUACGCCUAAAGGUGUAUCAUACAUGUUUGAUAUACGCCUAAGGAUGGGGCUGCGGCCGAUCAGGCUGUUGGUGAGGUAAUGGCUCACCAAACCUUUGACCGGUACGGGCCAUGAGAGUGGUAGCCCGGAGAUGGACACUGAGACAAGGGUCCAGGCCCUAAGGGGCGCAGCAACCGCGAAACCUCCACAAUGCACUCACGUGCGAUGGGGCUAUCUCGAGUGCCACCUGAUGAAGGUGGCUUUUCCUAGGUCUUCAAAGCCUUGGGAAUAAGAGGGGGGCAAGACUGGUGUCAGCCGCCGCGGUAACACCAGCCCCUCGAGUGGUGGGGAUGAUUAUUUGGCCUAAAGCGUCCGUAGCCGGCCGAGCAAGUCUUCCGUUAAAUCCAGCGUCUCAAGCGUUGGACUGCGGGAGAUACUACACGGCUAGAGAGUGGGAGAGGUCAGCGGUAUUCUGGGGGUAGGGGCGAAAUCCUUUGAUCCCCGGAGGACCACCAGUGGCGAAGGCUGCUGACUAGAACACGUCUGACGGUCAGGGACGAAAGCUGGGGUAGCGAACCGGAUUAGAUACCCGGGUAGUCCCAGCCGUAAACGAUGCAUGCUAGGUGUUGGGUUGGCCACGAGCCACCCC
rnacentral:rRNA from 1 species